rnacentral:ncRNA from 1 species
AUAAAGCAAGGGAGAUAAAGUAUACCGCCAAUUGCUCGGUGGCGUAGCUGGAUGGGGAUAGGUCGCAGAGGGAGGUCUCCUGACUUGUAGUCAGUAGCCCAUUAUGGGAUGUGAUCCAGCCCUUGUGGCGGAAAAUAGUGACGCGCAUGAAUGGAUUAACGAGAUUCCCACUGUCCCUAUCUACUAUCUAGCGAAACCACAGCCAAGGGAACGGGCUUGGCGAACACAGCGGGGAAAGAAGACCCUGUUGAGCUUGACUCUAGUCCGACUCUGUGAAGAGUCAUGAGAGGUGUAGCAUAAGUGGGAGGCCUUGGCCGACAGUGAAAUACCACUACUUUCAUCGAUUCUUUACUUAUUCGGUAAGACGAGAAUUGAGCCUAUCCGGCUCUUCAUUCUGGUGUUAAGUGCAGCCACUCGGUGGCCGCUCGACUCGCGCCGAAGACAGUGUCAGGCGGGGAGUUUGACUGGGGCGGUACAUCUGUCAAAUCGUAACGCAGGUGUCCUAAGGCUAGCUCAGAGAGGACGGAAACCUCUCGUAGAGCAAAAGGGCAAAAGCUCGCUUGAUCUUGAUUUCCAGUACGAAUACAGACCGCGAAAGCGUGGCCUAUCGAUCCUUUUGAAUUAGAAGGUCUCUAGCAAGAGGUGUCAGAAAAGUUACCACAGGGAUAACUGGCUUGUGGCAGCCAAUAAGGCGUUCAUAAGUGGCCGGAACAUGCGAGAUGUACUGGCGGUACAAGAGGGCUCACUGUCCACCAAGUGUUGCCCAAAGGCUAGGGGGAA